CCACAGUCCAAAGACAUGCAGUCAGGCCUACUGGACAUGCAGCCCCCACUCUUAGGAGCCCACCAGGAGGUGUCCUGGGUCUCCCAGUGGCCAGUCCAUCCUCACAUCAAACCCCUCUGAAUGACUGUGUACAUCUCCGUGCAGAAAUUUUGAGAAAACGAUGGAAUUCCCCUUUCAGCGUAGGAUAACGAACUCCAUGGAAACGUGCGGCACCUGGGCCGAAAACAAAUCGGUACGCAGUAAACAGCAGUGCAGUGUGAUUGAACCUCAGCCUUUCUCUCUCUCUGCUGUUGCUCUAAUGGGCUGCAUUAGAACCUGUAUUAUUCUGGCCUUAUUAAACACAAAUUGAAAACUGUAAAAUUGCCACAACACAUAAUGGAACUACCAAGCAAUCUGAACGCUGAUGCACACGCCAUGAUGUUCUCUACAGGAGCCAGAGAUGCGCUUCAGGGUAACAAUGUGCACUUACAGACUCUCUCUCUCGUCUAAAUAUGCCCAUCGCAUCCACGGUCCAGCUUCCUCCAGGCAAACAGGGACAGCGAUUAUUCACGUACACCGCACACUGAUGCAAACGACGAAGCGGCUUCGAAUUCAAUUACGCUUUACAUUUCAAUAAGUAGAACAGGAGAGCAGACCUGACAGCUGUAUUACUUCUAGGCGGACUCCUGUAAUUGGCACUUAGCUUGUAAAGGAUGCUGUUCAUUUGGGUCAGUGAUAAGGUGAUGUACUCAUAACCGCGACACUCAUACCACAUUAAAGGGCCUGUAUCAUAA